AAUCAACGCUGGCGGCGUGCCUAACACAUGCAAGUCGAACGCGAAAGCCCCUUCGGGGGCAAGUAGAGUGGCGUCCGGGUGAGUAACACGUGGGUAAUCUACCUCCGGGUGGGGAAUAACUCGCCGAAAGGUGGGCUAAUACCGCAUAAUGCAGCGGCACCGAAUGGUGAUUAGUUGUUAAAGCGGGGGACCUUAGGGCCUCGCGUCUGGAGAGGAGCCUGCGGCAGAUUAGCUUGUUGGAGGGUAAUGGCCUACCAAGGCUGCGAUCUGUAGCUGGUCUGAGAGGACGGCCAGCCACACUGGCACUGACACACGGGCCAGACUCCUACGGGAGGCAGCAGUGGGGAAUUUUGGGCAAUGGGCGAAAGCCUGACCCAGCAACGCCGCGUGAAGGAGGAAAUCCUUCGGGAUGUAAACUUCACAAGCAAGGGAAGAGCGCGCAGGGUCGAAUAAACUCUGCGUCCGACGGUACCUUGCGUAAGCCACGGCUAACUACGUGCCAGCAG
rnacentral:rRNA from 1 species